GUGAGGCAGGAUUUGCGGCUGUCGAGGUAACUUCAGCUUUAACUCUGGGUUUUCCGUCCUACCAAGCCGGUUCUCUUCUCCCAGGGGUAAAUCACCAUGGUAACGUGCUGCCUAACCUGCUCCAGGUGAAGUUCGAGGUUGCUGCUCAGCUUGAAGCUGACCCUCUACAUGAUGCUCCUCCUGCUGCUCGGCUGCUCCUGCCCUCUCUUCAUCAGCACUGGGGUUCAACAGCUUCUUCUCAGCUACUACCUCCUGCUCCCAAUGAGGUGCAUUGCCGAUGCUGGAGUCCUUUGAGGUACAAAGUGUGAUGUAAUGUUACAGUGGCAAAAAACAAAUCAUGCUGUGAAUACAACUAGGUACAGCUCAGUAAACCAAAAUAAAAUGCCAAUUUCAAAUUUGAUACUACUUCUGUCUACAUGUUGAACAGAAAAAAUAUAUUUACCAAAAUGUUUAAAUGAAAAGAAAAUUUUCAAGCGUGUAUUACUUGACAAAAACAAAAUGCAGAAUUUGACCAAACAAUCCCAAACUCAAAGUCCAU